CCCUAGCCCCGAUUGCAGCUUUGUUUGAGCUCAUUUUUGAGGAUUUUUGGGUUGCGGCGGCUUUGCCGCCGCAACCCAAAAAUCCUCAAAAAUAGCGAGUGCGGAAAGCGGGAAAUUGC
rnacentral:sRNA from 1 species